rnacentral:rRNA from 1 species
GUGCCAGCAGCCGCGGUAAUACAGAGGCCCCAAGCGUUACUGAGAAUCACUGGGUUUAAAGGGUGCGUAGGUGGCGCGUUAAGUCCGUUGUGAAAUCCCUGGGCUCAACCCAGGAACCGCUUCGGAUACUGGCGCGCUUGAGGCGAGUAGGGGUCACUGGAACUGACGGUGGAGCGGUGAAAUGCGUAGAUAUCGUCAGGAACGCCGAUGGUGAAGACAGGUGACUGGGCUCGAUCUGACACUGAGGCACGAAAGCGUGGGGAGCGAACGGGAUUAGAAACCCUCGUAGUCC